AUUGAACGCUGGCGGCAGGCCUAACACAUGCAAGUCGAGCGGUAGAGCGAAGCUUGCUUCCCUUUAGAGCGGCGGACGGGUGAGUAAUGCCUAGGAAUCUGCCUGGUAGAUGGGGAUAACGUUCGUUCACGGACGCUAAUACCGCAUACGUCCUACUGUAGAAAGCAGUGGACCAUCGGGCCAUGCGCUAUCAGAUGUGCCUAGGUCGGAUUAGCUAGUUGGUGGGGUAAUGGCUCACCAAGGCGACGAUCCGUAACUGGUCUGAGAGGCUGAUCAGUCACACUGGAACUGAGACACGGUCCAGACUCCUACGGGAGGCAGCAGUGGGGAAUAUUGGACAAUGGGCGAAAGCCUGAUCCAGCCACGCCGCGUGUGUGAAGAAGGUCUUCGGAUUGUAAAGCACUUUAAGUUGGGAGGAAGGGCAGUAAAUGAAUACUUUGCUGUUUUGACGUUACCGACAGAAUAAGCACCGGCUAACUCUGUG
rnacentral:rRNA from 1 species